rnacentral:rRNA from 1 species
AUUGAACGCUGCGGCAGGCUUAACACAUGCAAGUCGAGCGAGCGGCGGACGGGUGAGUAAUGCUUAGGAAUCUGCCUAUUAGUGGGGGACAACAUCUCGAAAGGGAUGCUAAUACCGCAUACUAAUAGAUGAGGCUAGUCGGAUUGGCUAGUUGGUGGGGUAAAGGCCUACCAAGGCGACGAUCUGUAGCGGGGCUGAGAGGAUGAACCGGCAAACUGGGACGGAGAAAGGGCCAGACUCCUACGGGAGGCAGCAGGGGGGAAAUUGGACAAUGGGGGGAAACCUGGACCAACCAAGCCGGGGGGGUGAAGAAAGCCUUAUGGUUGGAAAGCACUUUAAGCGAGGAGGCGUUACUCGCAGAAUAAGCACCGGCUAACUCCGUGCCAGCAGCCGCGGUAAUUC